CACUGAUGUUUCAGGAACGCGCUACACCAGUCUAAGACACGAUGCGCCGGAUCCGCUGCGUCAGCUCUUCACAGCCGCCUCGUCACACGCUAAGUCACUGACGGAUAAUGAUGCGCACGGCGAAUCAACAACGAUCACGACGAACUCACCAUUCAAACACAAAAUCAAACUCGACUUUCAAUCGCAUCAAAUAGAGUGCACAAAUUCGAAAUAAAAUCAGAGAGAAACACGAAAUACUUACUGAAUGUAGAUAAAUAUCAAUUACUCUCUUUCUUUCUACUUCUCCGAUCAUCUUCUGCUAUGGCUGCGAACUCACUUGCGUUUUCCGUGUCGUUGUGAUUGUCGAGCUUCCGUGUGCUCUUGAUGUGCUGGAUCGGGAGUAUGGAAGGUACCGUGUGAUUGGAAGCUCACGAAGGUUACCUAAGUAACAUGCUUGGAACGAAUGUUGAAAUCUGGUGUGGAUCGAGGUAAACAGAGGAUUCGUCGGAGAAGACGAUCACGUGGCGGCGAUGCCGCCGAAUGUAGUUCUCAGUUGCUCGUGUGGUGGUCGCUCGGUGAAGAUUGAAGAAGGAAGAUAAGAAGAGUUGGUUAACGAUGGGAGAGGAAGAGGAAAAUAUCCCCCUGCUGAACGGUGAAGGUUUCACAGCUUCAUUAUUUCCUGGAUUAGAUGUGAAUGAUAUUGAUUUACUAUUUGAAAUAUUAAAGCCAACAUUGGUGUCAUGCCGAAGAAGGCAUACAAAGUUCUUUCGAUCACUCUCAGGAGCUCAGACAGUUUUGGUUCAUCAAAGCUUGAGGAUCCACUUGAGCUCAUGGUUAAAAUUCGCCCUUGCCAUUCCUCUACCAAACGCCAUAGACUUGAUUGCAUUUACUUCUCUAUUGUCCAUGUCCUAGAUUAUACUGCCUCUUAAAGAGGCCAAUAAAAAACAGGAAUAUCAAGCUUGAGAACAAUGCCGCGAAGGUUACAGAUUGCCAAGUUCUCAAUUGAAAUGGGGUUCGACUGUGGCAGGAUUUUGAAGGAAGUUGAGGGUAGAACUUUUAUGCCGGUUUGGUUCCAUGUGAAUGCAGGUUUAACAUUCCCGGCAUUGUCGUUGGAGCUAGCUGCUGCUAUUACUUUACAGUGUGAUCGCAAUUCAGCUUUUGUUUGCGUUUCUACCGGCGGAUGGUUAUGCUGCUGGAGUUUCUAGUUUUCUCUCAAAUUGCUCCAUUAUCAACUCCAUUGAAUUAAGAAAAUUGUUGAAGUUUAUGACCGUAGUUGUAAAUGUAAGACACGAUGACACAAACUUUAUGUAUAUGAAAAGUGGAAAAAAAAAUUUAGUGAGCCAAUAGAUUGACACUAAGGAUCAAUAUUGAAAAACAGAAAUGUGAGAAGAACCAAUCGAUUGGGCCUCACCAACCAAUCAGUUGACUUAUGUUAAAAACUUCAAAAUCCAUAUCUUAAGUGUUUCUAAAUG